rnacentral:rRNA from 1 species
UGGGGAAUAUUGCACAAUGGAGGGAACUCUGAUGCAGCGACGCCGCGUGAGUGAUGAAGGAACUAGUUUCGUAAAACUCUGUUCUAUGGGAAGAAAAGGACUGUACCAUAGGAGAAAGCUCCGGCUAAAUACGUGCCAGCAGCCGCGGUAAUACGUAUGGAGCGAGCGUUGUCCGGAAUUAUUGGGCGUAAAGGGUGCGCAGGCGGCUUUACAAGUUGGAUGUGAAAUAUUGUGGCUCAACCACAAACGUGCAUCCAAAACUGCAAAGCUUGAGUUAAGGAGAGGUAAGUGGAAUUCCUGGUGUAGCGGUGGAAUGCGUAGAUAUCAGGAGGAAUACCGGUGGCGAGGGCGACUUACUGGACUUAAACUGACGCUCAGGCACGAGAGCGUGGGGAGCAAACAGG